GACUAUAAGGGACCAACAAACCGGCAGAUUUCUCCUUUUCUUCUUGAUUUCUCGCCGUCGGCUUCUCCCCUCUCACUGCGCUGCUCCAGCCUCCAGCACCAACAAACCAGAUAGGCAGCGUUUUGUUUCCGCUCCAGCGUUCGCUCCAGAUCGGCACGGCAACUUCGGCCUCUCGGCUUCUUCCCUCUCCAGCGUUCGCUCCAACCUCCUGCACUGCUCCAGCACCAGCAACGGCAACCUCCAGCAUCCGCGCGGCUCCAACCUCCGGCGUUCGAACAAACCAAAUCGGCAACGAGAUCUUCACUUCUUGCUUCUCAAAUUUCAAACUUUCAGCGGCCGAUUUCGAGGUUGCCUAUUUGUGGAAUGAGUUGCCUGAAGCCCAACGGUUACUUCUUACAUAUCUUGGCUAGAAAACAGAGUGCAGUGUAGAAAUUUAGCAUUGCACUUCUUGCAAUGGAGGAACUCAGCAACAUGCAUUGCGAUGGCAGAGAAAACAAAGAAGCUUCUCAACUAGUUG
rnacentral:misc_RNA from 1 species